rnacentral:rRNA from 1 species
AGAGUUUGAUCCUGGCUCAGGACGAACGCUGGCGGCGUGCCUAAUACAUGCAAGUCGAACGAGAAUUUCUUACACCGAGUGCUUGCACUCACCGUAAGAAAUUCGAGUGGCGGACGGGUGAGUAACACGUGGGUAACCUGCCCAAAAGAAGGGGAUAACAUUUGGAAACAAAUGCUAAUACCGUAUAACCAUGAUGACCGCAUGGUCAUUAUGUAAAAGGUGGUUCUGCUAUCGCUUUUGGAUGGACCCGCGGCGUAUUAACUAGUUGGUAGGGUAACGGCCUACCAAGGUGAUGAUACGUAGCCGAGUUGAGAGACUGAUCGGCCACAAUGGGACUGAGACACGGCCCAUACUCCUACGGGAGGCAGCAGUAGGGAAUCUUCCACAAUGGGCGCAAGCCUGAUGGAGCAACGCCGCGUGAAUGAAGAAGGUCUUCGGAUCGUAAAAUUCUGUUGUUAGAGAAGAAUAUGAGUAGUAGUAACUGAUUAUUCACUGACGGUAUCUAACCAGCAAGUCACGGCUAACUACGUGCCAGCAGCCGCGGUAAUACGUAGGUGGCAAGCGUUGUCCGGAUUUAUUGGGUGUAAAGGGAACGCAGGCGGUUUUUUAAGUCUGAUGUGAAAGCCUUCGGCUUAACCGGAGAUGUGCAUUGGAAACUGGAAGACUUGAGUGCAGAAGAGGAGAGUGGAACUCCAUGUGUAGCGGUGAAAUGCGUAGAUAUAUGGAAGAACACCAGUGGCGAAAGCGGCUCUCUGGUCUGUAACUGACGCUGAGGUUCGAAAGCAUGGGUAGCGAACAGGAUUAGAUACCCUGGUAGUCC